rnacentral:ncRNA from 2 species
UGACCUUGCACAAGCGUCGCUGCACUGCGACAAGCGCGCCAGGCGGUUAAGGGAACGCGGUCCAACACCGCGGCUGUGCCCGCAACUGUAGGCGGCGAGGCCGUCAUUCGCUCCGGAGCUUCGGCUUCGGCGCCACUGGGCGACCGGGAAGGCGAGAAUGGCGGCUUUUGACCCGCAAGCCAGGAGACCUGGCCGCCGACGUCGUCCGUC